AGGGAUUGCCUCAGUAACGGCGAGUGAAGCGGCAACAGCUCAAAUUUGAAAUCUGGCCCUUUCAGGGUCCGAGUUGUAAUUUGCAGAGGGUGCUUUGGCGUCGGCCGUGGUCUAAGUUCCUUGGAACAGGACGUCACAGAGGGUGAGAAUCCCGUACGUGGCCGCCGGUCUUCGCCGUGUAAAGCCCCUUCGACGAGUCGAGUUGUUUGGGAAUGCAGCUCUAAAUGGGAGAUACAUUUCUUCUAAAGCUAAAUAUUGGCCAGAGACCGAUAGCGCACAAGUAGAGUGAUCGAAAGAUGAAAAGCACUUUGGAAAGAGAGUCAAAAAGCACGUGAAAUUGUUGAAAGGGAAGCGCUUGCAGCCAGACGUGCCCGCAGUUGCUCACCCAGGCUCUUGCCUGGGGCACUCUUCUGCGGGCAGGCCAGCAUCAGUUCGGGCGGUUGGAUAAAGGCCUCUAUCACGUACCACCUUUCGGGGUGUCCUUAUAGGGGAGGCGCAACACGGCCAGCCUGAACUGAGGACCGCGCAUCAGCUAGGAUGCUGGCGUAAUGGCUGUAAGCGGCCCGUCUUGAAACACGGACCAAGGAGUCUAACAUCUAUGCGAGUGUUUGGGUGUCAAGCCCGGGCGCGCAAUGAAAGUGAACGGAGGUGGGAACCUUUUGGGUGCACCAUCGACCGAUCCUGAAGUCUUCGGAUGGAUUUGAGUAAGAGCAUAGCUGUUGGGACCCGAAAGAUGGUGAACUAUGCCUGAAUAGGGUGAAGCCAGGGGAAACCCUGGUGGAGGCUCGCAGCGGUUCUGACGUGCAAAUCGAUCGUCAAAUUUGGGCAUAGGGGCGAAAG
rnacentral:rRNA from 1 species